GGAGAAAUCAUCUACUCCUUUAUUUUACAGGUAAAGGUUCCGGCUUAAAGGUUAUGCAGUUGGUUAACAGAAUUAUGACCAGAUCUAGCCCUUCCGGUUCUCAGUUUAAUAAUAGUGACUUCCAGUUAGUGAAGCAUGCCCCGGUGUACACUUAUUUUCAUUAAUCCUGAUGGCAAACCUUAGACCUAUCUCAAGAUUCAAUUUUGUGCCUAGGACCAUCCUCCCGGAUUGCAGUCCCAUGGGCCCAGCCCUGUGAUGUAAUAUGCAAAGGCUCAGAAACCUAAUUUGGAGAAGAACGUUAUGGGCACUGAAGACGUCCUGCAGUAGACAGGACACCCCAAGGAACCCACACCAUCCCCUCCCCCUAGCAUCAGGGAAGUCACCGUGUCCCAGGGUGGGGCAGAGAGAAAAGAGAGAGGGAAGAGGCAGAGAGAUGGUAGGAAUGUCAUAGCUAGUAGAAGUCCACCCCCAUGGCAGGAGAUAGGAGUUGGGGGAACAAGCAUUUCUCCUCCUUCCCCCUGUAGUUCUUGGCCCGGGACUCCAGCUGUCAUAGCCUUGAUUCCUGGCUGACACCUGCACUACUGUGUGUUAUGCCCUUGGCUUCUCCUGCUUAUAGAGCUCUGACCUGCCCAGGUGGCUCCAGAUUGCAACUUCCUUACCAAGGCCUCUCACUCCCCUCAGAGGUGUUUCCUCUUCUCUGUACAGUCACAUCCAUCAGAUUGUACCAAGGGCCUUUUGCUUUUUAAAGCAGUUCAGGUUCUAGUCCAAUGAGGACAUGCAAAUUCUAUCUUAUUAGGAGUCCCUUAAAGUAGUUAUCUGAGGACUGGUGAGGACUGGCUGACCCUUUCUUAUACAUGAGGAAGUAUGAGUAGGACUGGGGCGGGGGCUUGAGGCUGUUAGAAGUCAGGGGAAGUUCCUAACUGAGAAGCUGCACAGAAGUGAUGGAAGUCUCAUUUGGUAGACUCAGAUCUAUUGGGAGAUUUGGUCCUGUAUUAGUCCCUUCUCACACUGCUAUAAAGAAAUACCCGAGACUGGGUAAUUUAUAAAGGAAAGAAGUUUAAUGGACUCACAGUUCUGCAUGGCUGUGGAGGCCUCAGGGAACUUACAAUCAUGGCAGAAGGCAAAGGAGAAGCAGGCACCUCCUUCACAGGGUGGCAGGAUGGAGUGAGUGCAAGCAGGGGACAUGUCAGACACUUAUAAAACCAUCAGAUCUCGUGAGAGUCACUAUCAUGAGAACAGCUCCGGGGAAACUGCCCCCAUACCUCCACCCUUGGUCCUGCCCUUGACAAGUGGGGAUUGUGGGGAUAAUUCAAGAUGAGAUUUUGGGUGGGGACACAGCCUAACCAUAUCAGGUCCUCACUUUGGGGAUCUUGCUUUUUUUUUUUGAGACAGGGUUUCACUGUGUCACCCAGGCUGGAGUGCAGGGGUACAAACAGGCUCACUGCAACCUCUGCAUCUUGGGUUCAAGCAAUUCUUGUGCCUCCUGGGUAGCUGUGAUUACAGGUACAUGCCACCAUGCCCUGCUUUUUUUUUUUUUUUUUUUUUUUUUUUUGGUAUUUUUAGUAGAGAUGGGGUUUCACCAUGUUGGCCAGGCUGAUCUCGAACUCCUGGCCUCAAGUGAUCCACCCGCCUCGGCCUCCCAAAGUGCUGAGAUUACAGUGUGAUCCACUGCGUGUGGCUGAGAAGGCCCCCUUUUUAAAGAAAAGUCUUAUCUCGUGGGAAGUCAGCAGGAAAGCCAGGGAUGGGGAAGUGGUUCUGGCACUAGAUCAGCAAUGGCAGUUUCUCAGGUUACAGCUGUGUGAGGUCUGUGUUCACGGCCUUGGGUUCUGAAGUGUAAGCUUUUGGUUAGGACAGUGGGGAGAUAGGGGAUUUGGGCUCUGGUCCAGCUC
rnacentral:lncRNA from 1 species